AACCCUAUAUUUAUGACUAAUUUUGUGACCGAAAACAUUUCUCUUUUUGCUAACUUGCAAAGAAUGUUAAUUUUAAGUCGUCCGCAUGACAAUAGCUUGGAUGUUAAAUUCUUUAAAAUGAUCAGGACAGAAGUUGACGGCUUAUUUCACCAAGAAAGGAGGCGAGGGAAUAACGCUAGGAGGACGUACGGGCUGAACCAUCAAAUGAACUGCCUCCCACUAAUGGACCUGUGACCUUCUGCGUUUCGCCGUCGCUCAGAGCCGUCCUAACGCCAGGAGGAGAUAGCAGCUUAAAACAAAAUUGAAUGCAGAGCUGAACUGAUAUCGCUGUGGCAUCAUAUAUCAUGGAACAAGGCUAAGAAAGUAAUUUUUUUGAAGCAAACACAAGCA